rnacentral:lncRNA from 1 species
AGUUGCUUCUGCUCCUUCACCCUGGUAACAAUAUGAAGAUGCCCACUUUUCACUCCCUGCAUGCCACACCACCUCCAGUAGCAUCUGUGUAACAAGUUCCACAGACUGAGGUGAUUGACCUCAAAAGGGCGGGGCCUCCUGGAACCGGUUGUGGAACUCUUUGCUGGAGAAAAAUUAUUGAGCCGAAGUUCUCAUGGCAAUCUAUCUGUUUUGUUUUCUCUUCUUCCUCUUCUUAUUUACAUGUUCCUGGUAGCUUAGGCCAAGAGCUUAAGCGAGAAUAACAGGUAAGAAACCAUCCCUAGAGAUGGGGUCACUAACCUGACCUUAUCCCCGGGGAAACCAAAACUUUACUUUCUAAAUCAUUUACAAAAUUAUAUAAUAGUAUUAGGAUAGAUAAAAAACUUUCCCAACAAUAAAAUUUCAUAUGUCUACAUGUGUGUCAUUGGAGGUGGGUUUUGGUAUAUAGUAAAGAAAGCCUUAAUUAGAAAGAAUUAAAAUAGUUUAAAUUUAUGCAUUGAAGAUUUAUUUAAAAAAUCAGGCAUUAGAUGUUAAAUAAUAAUUGACCAUGGGGCUGGAGAGUUAGCUCAGAGGUUAAGAGCAUUUGCCGUUAAAGAUUUAUUAACUUGCUGCUGGAAAUAUGCCACCAGCUUGGACGACUACCCCACUGAAUACAUCCUGUUAGAAUUGUUCUAUUUUGAUGAUUUAUAAUGAUGUUACCUGUUCUGUUUGUGAUUCACUGAAUACAGAGUUUCAGAGUUGUAAUGCUUGGAGGACUUUGGUGCUUUACUCUGCCAAAUAAUUUUUGUUGCUAUUUGUGAUUGUUCCGCUGGAUACAGUUUCUAAGAGUUGUAAUGUUUGUUUGUUUUGUUUGUUUGUUUGUUAAUGUAUAAAAUUCCCGGCUUGAGAGCUGCAAAAAUACACUCAGAUUCAAACUGC